rnacentral:rRNA from 1 species
UUGACUGAGUGGCGGACGGGUGAGUAACGCGUGAGUAACCUACCUCGCAGUGGGGAAUAACAGUCGGAAACGACUGCUAAUACCGCAUAAUGCAGAGAGACCGCAUGAUCUUUUUGCCAAAGAUUUAUCGCUGUGAGAUGGACUCGCGUCUGAUUAGCUAGUUGGUGAGGUAAUGGCUCACCAAGGCGACGAUCAGUAGCCGGCUUGAGAGAGUGAUCGGCCACAUUGGGACUGAGACACGGCCCAAACUCCUACGGGAGGCAGCAGUGGGGAAUAUUGCACAAUGGGGGAAACCCUGAUGCAGCGACGCCGCGUGAGUGAAGAAGUAUUUCGGUAUGUAAAGCUCUAUCAGCAGGGAAGAAAAUGACGGUACCUGACUAAGAAGCCCCGGCUAACUACGUGCCAGCAGCCGCGGUAAUACGUAGGGGGCAAGCGUUAUCCGGAUUUACUGGGUGUAAAGGGAGCGUAGGUGGUGUGGUAAGUCAGAUGUGAAAGCCCAGGGCUCAACCCUGGGACUGCAUUUGAAACUGCCAUGCUUGAGUGCAGGAGAGGUAAGUGGAAUUCCUAGUGUAGCGGUGAAAUGCGUAGAUAUUAGGAGGAACACCAGUGGCGAAGGCGGCUUACUGGACUGUAACUGACACUGAGGCUCGAAAGCGUGGGGAGCAAACAGGAUUAGAUACCCUGGUAGUCCACGCGGUAAACGAUGAAUACUAGGUGUCGGGGGUCAAAAGACCUCCGGUGCCGCAGCUAACGCAAUAAGUAUUCCACCUGGGGAGUACGUUCGCAAGAAUGAA